CAAGCGCCGAUAACGGUAGGAGACCAGUUACGCAUAGCUACGCAGAAACGUCCGAGUGGGAGAGCGAGACUGCUACAUGUAUAAGAGAGUACAAAUCUAAGUACACUUGGUCCGGACGAACGGAAGAGUUUCAGCAUACGAAAAGAGCUAGACGUUUCCUGUUCGCCCAAUGGAAUAAUACGGGUGUUUUGGUUGCCGACUAAUUAACGGUCUUCUCGUACGUCUUUCCCUUUUCCGCCAUUCAAGCCGUCGUUGCGCGACAUAAUUCCGGCAAUUGCGCCAAUUAUUAUGGGGUCAAGUGGCGGUGCGCGUGUACGGUGUGCGUGGCACGCGAAGAAUAAGGAGCACCGAAUGUGGAGCAAAAGGUACUGUUUUGCCAUACGCGGCAGUAAACGACGAUGAAUCGUGUAAUCGCUGCAAACUACAGAACCGGUUGCGAUCCUUAACGAUUCAACGAAGUCCAAGGAUAGUUUCGACGAGUUGAGCUAAUUAAAGUCUAAAGGUCCACAGCUUAGGGAGCUCAAGUGAUUCGAACCUCCGUUAUGUAUCGAUUCGAAUCUCCGGUUAAUUUUCAUUCCGACCUAUACCGCACGUUAACUAUUAUUUUUGAAACGUUGGAGGAGAGCCUAAGCGAAAUUGAAGUAAUUUGAGAAGACCGUAAAGGAUGUAGGAGUCUUCACUGCCGUUUCGUCGUGCAAAUUGAACCUUGACCGUAAAGGAUGUAGGAGUCUUCACUGCCGUUUCGUCGUGGAAAUUGAACCUUAACCGUAAAGGAUGUAGGAGUCUUCACUGCCGUUUCGUCGUGGAAAUUGAACCUUGACCGUAAAGGAUGUAGGAGACUUCACUGCCGUUUCGUCGUGGAAAUUGAACCUUGCGACUACGUAUUAGGGUGACAUCAAGAUAAACUGGAAAUACGCACGCGAAGACACGCACAGACCAAUAGAGAUCAACGUUGAGCUCG